rnacentral:rRNA from 1 species
CCUACGGGUGGCUGCAGUGAGGAAUCUUGGUCAAUGGGCGCGAGCCUGAACCAGCCAAGUAGCGUGAAGGAUGACUGCCCUACGGGUUGUAAACUUCUUUUAUAAAGGAAUAAAGUGAGGCACGUGUGCCUUUUUGUAUGUACUUUAUGAAUAAGGAUCGGCGAACUCCGUGCAAGCAGCCGCGGUCAUACGGAGGAGCCGAGCGUUAUCCGGCUGUAUUGGGGUUAAAGGGAGCGUAGAUGGGUUGUUAAGUCCGUAGUGAAAUGUUGCGGCUCAACCGUAAAAUUGCCAUUGAUACUGGCAGCCUUGUGUGCAGUUGAGGUAGGCGGAAUUCGUGGUGUAGCGGGGAAAUGCUUAGAUAUCACGAAGAACUCCGAUUGCGAAGGCAGCCUACUAAGCUGCCACUGACAUUGAUGCUCGAAAGUGUGGGUAUCAAACAGGAUUAGAUACCCGGGUAGUC